UACGAAGGGGGCUAGCGUUGCUCGGAAUCACUGGGCGUAAAGGGCGCGUAGGCGGACAGUUAAGUCGGGGGUGAAAGCCCGGGGCUCAACCUCGGAAUUGCCUUCGAUACUGGCUGUCUUGAGUACGGGAGAGGUGUGUGGAACUCCGAGUGUAGAGGUGAAAUUCGUAGAUAUUCGGAAGAACACCAGUGGCGAAGGCGACACACUGGCCCGUUACUGACGCUGAGGCGCGAAAGCGUGGGGAGCAAACAGG
rnacentral:rRNA from 1 species